ACGCUGGCGGUAGGCCUAACACAUGCAAGUCGAACGGCAGCACAGGAGAGCUUGCUCUCUGGGUGGCGAGUGGCGGACGGGUGAGGAAUACAUCGGAAUCUACUCUGUCGUGGGGGAUAACGUAGGGAAACUUACGCUAAUACCGCAUACGACCUACGGGUGAAAGCAGGGGAUCUUCGGACCUUGCGCGAUUGAAUGAGCCGAUGUCGGAUUAGCUAGUUGGCGGGGUAAAGGCCCACCAAGGCGACGAUCCGUAGCUGGUCUGAGAGGAUGAUCAGCCACACUGGAACUGAGACACGGUCCAGACUCCUACGGGAGGCAGCAGUGGGGAAUAUUGGACAAUGGGCGCAAGCCUGAUCCAGCCAUACCGCGUGGGUGAAGAAGGCCUUCGGGUUGUAAAGCCCUUUUGUUGGGAAAGAAAUCCAGCCGGCUAAUACCUGGUUGGGAUGACGGUACCCAAAGAAUAAGCACCGGCUAACUUCGUGCCAGCAGCCGCGGUAAUACGAAGGGUGCAAGCGUUACUCGGAAUUACUGGGCGUAAAGCGUGCGUAGGUGGUCGUUUAAGUCCGUUGUGAAAGCCCUGGGCUCAACCUGGGAACUGCAGUGGAUACUGGGCGACUAGAGUGUGGUAGAGGGUAGCGGAAUUCCUGGUGUAGCAGUGAAAUGCGUAGAGAUCAGGAGGAACAUCCAUGGCGAAGGCAGCUACCUGGACCAACCACUGACACUGAGGCACGAAAAGCGUGGGGAGCAAAACAGGAUUAGAUACCCUGGUAGUCCACGCCCUAAACGAAUGCGAACUGGAUGUUGGGUGCAAUUUUGGCACGCAGUAUCGAAGCUAACGCGUUAAGUUCGCCGCCUGGGGAGUACGGUCGCAAGACUGAAACUCAAAGGAAUUGACGGGGGCCCGCACAAGCGGUGGAGUAUGUGGUUUAAUUCGAUGCAACGCGAAGAACCUUACCUGGCCUUGACAUGUCGAGAACUUUCCAGAGAUGGAUUGGUGCCUUCGGGAACUCGAACACAGGUGCUGCAUGGCUGUCGUCAGCUCGUGUC
rnacentral:rRNA from 1 species